AACGAACGCUGGCGGCAGGCUUAACACAUGCAAGUCGAGCGCCCCGCAAGGGGAGCGGCAGACGGGUGAGUAACGCGUGGGAAUCUACCCAUCUCUACGGAAUAACGCAUGGAAACGUGUACUAAUACCGUAUACGUCCUUCGGGAGAAAGAUUUAUCGGAGAUGGAUGAGCCCGCGUUGGAUUAGCUAGUUGGUGGGGUAAAGGCCUACCAAGGCGACGAUCCAUAGCUGGUCUGAGAGGAUGAUCAGCCACACUGGGACUGAGACGCGGCCCAGACUCCUACGGAAGGCAGCAGUGGGGAAUAUUGGACAAUGGGCGCAAGCCUGAUCCAGCCAUGCCGCGUGAGUGAUGAAGGCCCUAGGGUUGUAAAGCUCUUUCACCGGUGAAGAUAAUGACGGUAACCGGAGAAGAAGCCCCGGCUAACUUCGUGCCAGCCGCCGCUGUAACAC
rnacentral:rRNA from 1 species